rfam:Picea glauca, whole genome shotgun sequence.
AAGUGAGAUCAUACCAACGUUAAUGAACUGGAUCCCAUUAGAACUCUGCAGUUAAGUGCAGUUGGGCUGGAGUAGUACUGGGAUGGGUGACCUCCUGGGAAGUCCUAGUGUUGCACCCU